GACGAACGCUGGCGGCGUGCCUAAUACAUGCAAGUCGAACGCUUCUUUUUCACCGAACUUCGGUUCAUCGAAAAAGAGGAGUGGCGAACGGGUGAGUAACACGUGGGUAACCUGCCCAUCAGAAGGGGAUAACACUUGGAAACAGGUGCUAAUACCGUAUAAUGCUUUUUCUCGCAUGAGAGCAAGCUGAAAGGCGCUUUUGCGUCACUGAUGGAUGGACCCGCGGUGCAUUAGCUAGUUGGUGAGGUAACGGCUCACCAAGGCCACGAUGCAUAGCCGACCUGAGAGGGUGAUCGGCCACACUGGGACUGAGACACGGCCCAGACUCCUACGGGAGGCAGCAGUAGGGAAUCUUCGGCAAUGGACGAAAGUCUGACCGAGCAACGCCGCGUGAGUGAAGAAGGUUUUCGGAUCGUAAAACUCUGUUGUUAGAGAAGAACAAGGAUGAGAGUAAAAUGUCAUCCCUUGA
rnacentral:rRNA from 1 species